rnacentral:antisense_RNA from 1 species
AAUUUCUGAUCUUGUUUACAACGGAUUUGGAGGUGGCUAACUAUCCUGAAUUCCCACAAAUAAGAAAGAAGACUGAAGUUCAGAGAGGUGAAGGGACUGGCUCAGGGGCUACCCCUAUGGUUGCGGGAGCUAAGAUUCCAGCCCAGCAGCGUGAUCCAGAGCCCAUCUGAGCUACCCAGAUCUUCCUGCUGUUAAACCUGUCCUGGGGCAGCUCUUGCCUGAUGGGCUACCUGAGGAACCCACAGGAAAUCAAGGGAGGUGCCUGCAAAGUUGCCAUGGGGUCACAGCCUGCCCUUUGGAAGGGGCUGUUUCUGGGCUGCUGUGACUUCCUGCCAUUAUUUCCUCUCUGUUCUCCCUCUGGAAUGAAUAAAGUACUUCUGAAAAAACAUCAACCCAGUUGAUACGGAAAUGCUGGUCCCUACAAUAGAAUGCUCUGUGGUCAUUAAAAAGAUUAAAAAGGUCAA